rnacentral:tRNA from 1 species
UCCUGGUUAGCUCAGUUGGAGAGCGCUUUACUGGAAAUGGAGAGGUGCCGGGUUCGGUACCAGGAC